rnacentral:rRNA from 1 species
ACGUAGGUCACGAGCGUUGUCCGGAAUUACUGGGUGUAAAGGGAGCGCAGGCGGGAAGACAAGUUGGAAGUGAAAUCUAUGGGCUCAACCCAUAAACUGCUUUCAAAACUGUUUUUCUUGAGUAGUGCAGAGGUAGGCGGAAUUCCCGGUGUAGCGGUGGAAUGCGUAGAUAUCGGGAGGAACACCAGUGGCGAAGGCGGCCUACUGGGCACCAACUGACGCUGAGGCUCGAAAGUGUGGGUAGCAAACAG